CGUGGCGGACGGGUGAGUAACGCGUGGGCAACCUGCCUCGCACUGGGGGAUAACACUUAGAAAUAGGUGCUAACACCGCAUAGCGGGCGGGGGCGCAUGCCCCUGCCCUGAAAACCCAGGUGGUGCGAGAUGGGCCCGCGUCUGAUUAGCUGGUUGGCAGGGUAACGGCCUACCAAGGCGACGAUCAGUAGCCGGCCUGAGAGGGUGGACGGCCACAUUGGGACUGAGACACGGCCCAGACUCCUACGGGAGGCAGCAG
rnacentral:rRNA from 1 species